GAAAAGCCCAAGCGAAUUUUUCGAAUGUUUGUCCUGUGUCCAUACAUUUAGGGACAGAUCCCUCCGGAAUAACCUCUGUGCCGGGUCGUUUUUAAGGUCUCAUCUUCAAAGCGGGAAGCCCAAGGGCUGUCCACAGGUACAGGCAUUUUUUUUAACGGAGGCUCAACGUACCAACAGCUCCUGUGGCCUUCACGGUGCCUCUAUGCGCUCCGAGCUCCCGUUCUACCACGGGGGGCAAGGGGGGUGGCAAGGUGUCAGGACCAGGUAUUUUUGCCCAAGACUGGGUUUGGGGUGGGCAGAUGGGCCGGUGGACAGGAGGCAGGGCACUGGGAAGCCUCUACCUGCCUUGAUCUGGGCAUUCCCCAACAUUGAGUGUUUGCUGAGGAUCAAAACCGAAUUGUUUCUGGAAGGUGUUGCAGUGGGGGUGGGGGGGUGGGGUGGGCAGGGAGUGGGAAAUUAAGGGGCAAAAGAAAUGGCUUUGUUUCCCACCCCCCACCCCUGCCCCGGGGUGCAAGCUUUUCUCCCUUAAAACAUUUUACACAGUCACCACGACUCAGUUUCAUGGGAAAAUCCAAUUGCAGGAUUCCCAAUCCAAAUACAUAGACGGGCGUUUGGCACCCCACGUCUGCAUUCCUCCGGUCUCCGCGGGCUGUGACCCUAACCAGCCCUGGCUGUUCGGCCUUCCCCCAAGCACUCAGGUGUGGGCCGCACCCCAGCCGGCUCGCAGCUGGCGGGGAGACCUCUGUGCCCGGGGCAGCCCCAGAGCCCUGGGUGGGGGCUCAGCUCCGGGACCCAGAUGCCCAGCUUUGCACCCAGCAGGUAGCUAAGGCGCCCGGUGCCGCCUCGGUUGGAGGGGAGGAGUCAUGCGCUGUGUUCAGAGUGGAUGUCGCAGUCUCUAAGGAGACAGGUAAAUCUCCUGAUGCUGCAAUCAGAUUGGAGAGGAAGAUCCGCUCCCGAUGCAAGGCGCCUGCCUCCCGGCUUCUCGGAGGAAGCCCGUUCAGCGAGGCUGAGGUGGGCCUGGAACCAGCCAGAGCUGAGCCUCUGGAGGGCCUCGAGCCGAGCCGCCGUCCACCUGUGACCUCGAGCCUUCCGUGCCUGCUGGGUCUGGUUCUGCACAGAGGAGUCCUGACUCCUGCUCACAGGAGUGACAGGGCUGUGACUCCCAGAGAGGUAUGGGUAAAUUCUUUUGAAAGUGUAAAACCCUCAAGUAGUUUGUCUAUUUCUCCAAUGGGGCCAAUACAGGGGCCAGACUCGGAAAUGCAGAAAUGCUCCGUGGAUUAUUGCCACCGAGAUGUUUUCCUCUGGAUGAGCAUCAUCUUCAGAACGUCGCCGGGGCUUUCCCUCUCAAGCACGUGCUAUGGUUUUGCGAACUUCUUUUUCUCAGAUGGGGAAUGUGCCCCUGGGACUCCAUUAGCCAAGUCAAGAUUUAACCAAGGACCCAGAUGCCAGGCUGUCAACGGAGGUCCUGGGAGGGACACAGGCCCCUUCUCUCUGCCCAGCCUGUCCAGCAACAGUGAGCUGGACACUCCGGCCAGACUCUCCCACCAGGGAACUGGAGGUGCUCCUUGUGAUGAGUUUGAGGAGGAGAGGUGCACUCUCACAUCCACUUCCAGUUAUUACCCGGAAUGCUUCCUGUGGCCGAAGAUCUCCUGGAGCAGUAACCUGGUUGACAAGCAUAACUUGCACUCGAACCUCCCUCCCCUUCUGCUGUUUGACUUUGUCCCAGAUCUGAGGAUCACGUGGUAAUUCAGCAAAACUCCACCACUAUGCUGGCUCCCGGGGUGUGAAGGGCUUGGGGGUCUGGUUCUAAGCCCCGGCCCAAAGUUGGCGCUCAUUUUCAAAGGCAAUCACAAGAUGAAUAUCAAAGAAUUUACAGAAUCCACAUUGGGAAGCCUGUCAGAAAAUUGUUGGGAAAAUAAAGUGAAUCAAUAGAAUGUCA
rnacentral:lncRNA from 12 species